rnacentral:rRNA from 1 species
GAUGAACGCUGGCGGCGUGCCUAAUACAUGCAAGUCGAGCGAACGGACGAGAAGCUUGCUUCUCUGAUGUUAGCGGCGGACGGGUGAGUAACACGUGGAUAACCUACCUAUAAGACUGGGAUAACUUCGGGAAACCGUAGCUAAUACCGGAUAAUAUUUUGAACCGCAUGGUUCAAAAGUGAAAGACGGUCUUGCUGUCAUUUAUAGAUGGAUCCGCGCUGCAUUAGCUAGUUGGUAAGGUAACGGCUUACCAAGGCAACGAUGCAUAGCCGACCUGAGAGGGUGAUCGGCCACACUGGAACUGAGACACGGUCCAGACUCCUACGGGAGGCAGCAGUAGGGAAUCUUCCGCAAAGGGCGAAAGCCUGACGGAGCAACGCCGCGUGAGUGAUGAAGGUCUUCGGAUCGUAAAACUCUGUUAUUAGGGAAGAACAUAUGUGUAAGUAACUGUGCACAUCUUGACGGUACCUAAUCAGAAAGCCACGGCUAACUACGUG